rnacentral:rRNA from 1 species
AGGACGAACGCUGGCGGCGUGCCUAACACAUGCAAGUCGAACGGGACCAGGGGCAACUCUGGUUCAGUGGCGGACGGGUGCGUAACACGUGAGGAACAUGACCUUCGGCGGGGGAUAGCCGGCCCAACGGCCGGGUAAUACCGCGUACGACCUUUCGGGGACAUCCCUGGAUGGUGAAAGCAGCAAUGCGCCGAUGGAGUGCCUCGCGGCCUAUCAGCUAGUUGGUGAGGUAACGGCUCACCAAGGCAACGACGGUAGC